rnacentral:piRNA from 1 species
UACCACACUACACAUCAGCUAAUUUUCAGA